ACGAACGCUGGCGGCGUGCUUAACCCCUGCAAGUCGAACGGAAAGGCCCCUUUGGGGGUACUCGAGUGGCGAACGGGUGAGUAACACGUGAGUAACCUGCCCUUGACUUCGGGAUAACUUCAGGAAACUGGGGCUAAUACCGGAUAGGAAUCCUUGCUGCAUGGUGGGGGUUGGAAAGCUUCGGCGGUUUUGGAUGGACUCGCGGCUUAUCAGCUUGUUGGUGGGGUAGUGGCUUACCAAGGCUUUGACGGGUAGCCGGCCUGAGAGGGCGACCGGCCACAUUGGGACUGGGAUACGGCCCAGACUCCUACGGGAGGCAGCAGUGGGGAAUAUUGCACAAUGGGCGGAAGCCUGAUGCAGCAACGCCGCGUGCGGGAUGACGGCCUUCGGGUUGUAAACCGCUUUCAGCAGGGGCGAAGCUUGUGGUGACGGUACCUGCAGAAGAAGCACCGGCUAACUACGUG
rnacentral:rRNA from 1 species